AGGAUGAACGCUGGCGGCGUGCCUAAUACAUGCAAGUCGAGCGGUAAGGCCCCUUCGGGGGUACACGAGCGGCGGACGGCUGAGUAACACGUAGGAACGUACCCCAAACUGAGGGAUAAGCACCAGAAAUGGUGUCUAAUACCGCAUGUGAUCUUCGGAUUAAAGCUUCGGCGGUUUGGGAACGGCCUGCGCAUGAUUAGCUUGUUGGUGAGGUAAUAGCUCACCAAGGCGACGAUCAUUAGCUGGUCUGAGAGGAUGAUCAGCCAGACUGGGACUGAGAACGGCCCAGACUCCUACGGGAGGCAGCAGUAGGGAAUUUUCCACAAUGGGCGAAA
rnacentral:rRNA from 1 species